rnacentral:rRNA from 1 species
UACGAAGGGUGCUAGCGUUGUUCGGAAUUACUGGGCGUAAAGCGCGCGUAGGCGGCUUUUCAAGUCAGGGGUGAAAUCCCACAGCUCAACUGUGGAACUGCCUUUGAAACUGUUAAGCUAGAGUGUCGGAGGGGAUAGCGGAAUUGCUAAUGUAGAGGUGAAAUUCGUAGAUAUUAGCAGGAACACCGGUGGCGAAGGCGGCUAUCUGGACGACAACUGACGCUGAGGCGCGAAAGCGCGGGGAUCAAACAGG